CUACCCGGGUUUCUAAUCCUGUUUGCUCCCCACGCUUUCGCGCCUCAGCGUCAGUUACAGACCAGAAAGCCGCCUUCGCCACUGGUGUUCCUCCACAUCUCUACGCAUUUCACCGCUACACGUGGAAUUCCGCUUUCCUCUUCUGCACUCAAGUCCCCCAGUUUCCAAUGACCCUCCACGGUUGAGCCGUGGGCUUUCACAUCAGACUUAAAGGACCGCCUGCGCGCGCUUUACGCCCAAUAAUUCCGGACAACGCUUGCCACCUACGUAUUACCGCGGCUGCUGGCAC
rnacentral:rRNA from 1 species